CCUACGGGAGGCAGCAGUGGGGAAUAUUGCACAAUGGGGGAAACCCUGAUGCAGCGACGCCGCGUGAGCGAAGAAGUAUUUCGGUAUGUAAAGCUCUAUCAGCAGGGAAGAAAAUGACGGUACCUGACUCAGAAGCCCCGGCUAACUACGUGCCAGCAGCCGCGGUAAUACGUAGGGGGCAAGCGUUAUCCGGAUUUACUGGGUGUAAAGGGAGCGUAGACGGCGAUGCAAGCCUGAUGUGAAAGCCCGGGGCUCGACCCCGGGACUGCAUUUGAAACUGUAUUGCUGGAGUGUCGGAGAGGCAGGCGGAAUGCCUAGUGUAGCGGUGAAAUGCGUAGAUAUUAGGAGGAACACCAGUGGCGAAGGCGGCCUGCUGGACGAUAACUGACGUUGAGGCUCGAAAGCGUGGGGAGCAAACAGGAUUAGAUACCCUAGUAGUC
rnacentral:rRNA from 1 species